rfam:Bacillus smithii strain DSM 4216, complete genome.
AUGAAAACAGGGGGAGAGACUGCUUUAUGCAGCGCCGAAGGAGCAAGCAGAAGUGCGAAUCUCUCAGGCAAAAGAACUCCUGUUGGACG